AUUGAACGCUGGCGGCAGGCCUAACACAUGCAAGUCGAACGAGUGGCGGACGGGUGAGUAAUGUCUGGGAAACUGCCUGAUGGAGGGGGAAAACUACUGGAAACGGUAGAUAAUACCGCAUACCAUCGGAUGUGCCCAGGGGGGAUUAGCGGGUAGGUGGGGUAAAGGCUCACCUAGGCGACGAUCCCUAGCUGGUCUGAGAGGAUGACCGGCCACACUGUAACUGUGACACGGUCCAGACUCCUACGCGAGGCAGCAGUGGGGAAUAUUGCACAAUGGGCGAAAGCCUGAUGCAGCCAUGCCGCGUGUAUGAAGAAGGCCUUCGGGUUGUAAAGUACUUUCAGCGGGGAGGCGUUACCCGCAGAAGAAGCACCGGCUAACUCCGUGCCAGCAGCCGCGGUAAUUC
rnacentral:rRNA from 1 species